UACGGAGGGUGCGAGCGUUGUCCGGAAUCACUGGGCGUAAAGGGCGCGUAGGCGGCGCGGUAAGCGGGCGGUGAAAGCCCGGGGCUCAACCCCGGGUCGGCCGUGCGGACUGCCGCGCUGGAGCACUGUAGAGGCGGGUGGAAUUCCUGGUGUAGCGGUGAAAUGCGCAGAUAUCAGGAGGAACACCAAUGGCGAAGGCAGCUCGCUGGGACGUGACUGACGCUGAGACGCGAAAGCGUGGGGAGCAAACAGG
rnacentral:rRNA from 1 species